GUUAGGUCAGUGCCCGGCCAGAGGUUCACGAUAUCUAUGGAAAGCAGGUUGCAAUGGCUCGGGCGGGAGAGUGUAAUUGAUGGACAAACUCAAGCACUCAAAGGCCACCCAUUUGCUUCCCACCUCAAACCUCUUAGCCAGUGAUACAGAGAGAAGAAGAGGAGGAAGAGGAUGCCAGCCUUUGGACUGAAGUCCCACCCUAUGACCUCGCCUUAAUUUGAUUACGUCUGCAAAGAUGCUAUUCCAGAAUAAGGUCACAUUUACAGUUGCUGGGGGUAUGAUCGCUUGGAGAACACAGUUCAAACCCCUGCAGACACAAAUUCAUGCCUGCCCACCAGCUCGAGCCCCAGACACUGCUUUCAGGGGAGCCCAUGCCAAGGCAGCAGCUUGGUGACGCAAGGUGAGCUGAAGGAGAGCCGCUUGGGUGAGGAUUAUGAAGGCACGGGUGCCAUGGAAACCACUCUGAAGGCCCCCUAAAGCUGCAGCUGUCAGGAGGGGCUGUCUGCUGCCAUUGGUCGGCCACGUGGACCCUCUCCCUAACACGAUGCGUGACUUUUAUUUAUUUUACUCUGUUUUGCAUCUUAUGCCUGCUCUCGGCUUCUCUUGGCUUCCUCACAGUCCUGGUGCAGGAUGCUGCCUGCAGGUCAGUAGGAUAAAGGUGCUAAUGUUUUCUGUUUCUCUUUUUUGAACUUCUGACUUUUUAGGCUCAUUUUCUGGUGCUCUCUCCUCCAUGCCAUAAGGCAGCACAGAUUUCAAGCCAUAGAUGUUGGAGGCAGAAAAUGGGAUUAUGUUAGACAGAGAGGGAAGCCAGCUCUUCUAGCAGGUGCUGUAGAAAUGGCUUCUGAUUUUGGUCACAGAAGCAGUCCCUAACUUUCCCUGCAAAUCCAAGAAGCCCUCAAAGGGGCCAAAGGCAGGCUCUUUAGCACAAUGUCAAUCUGAGCAGAAUGGAAGGGUUGCCAGAGGUUGCUAGUGAGAUUCAAAGCCCUGUGGGUGCCUUGAUCUUCCUAAGCUUGCUUUUAGAGAAGUGUGCUGUCGAAACUUCAGGAGGCCGCCAGCUUCUGGUUGGACCUCAACCUCCUCCUCCCUCAACCUCCUCCUCCCUUUGAGUAGGAAUCAGAAGAAUCUUUUACAUUAGCCUUUGCCUUGAUAGUUUUUAUAUCCUUCAUUUUAUUUCUUUCCAGCAAUGGCCCUGAGAAAUUGGCAGGCGAAGUGCCAUUAACCCUGCAUUGGAGAGGAGGAAAUUGAGACCCAAUUUUUUUUUUUUUUUUUUGAGACAGAGUCUCGCUUUGUCACCCAGGCUGGAGUGCAGUGGUGCGAUCUCAGCUCGCUGAAAUCUCCACCUUUCUGGUUCAAGUGAUUCUCAUGCCUCAACCUUCCGAGUAGCUGGGAUUACAGGCGUGUGCCACCAUGCCUGGCUAAUUUUUGUAUUUUUAGUAGAGACAGGGUUUCACCAUGUUGACCAGGCUGGACUUGAACUCCUGACCUCAAGCGAUCCACCUGCCUUAGCCUCCCAAAGUGCUGGGAUUAUAGUCGUGAGCCACUGUUUCCAACUGAGACCCAAUAAUUUAAGUAGAAGGGCUGGGACUGGGGCCUGAGGCUGCUGCUCCCUGCCUAAGGCUCUGAGACUGCUUGAUCACAGGGUCAAGAUCUUUGAUGAAGCCGCUUUCUCAAGCUGUGGGUGGGCUUUUCCUGGUAGGAAAUUUGCCUGAGACCUGGCAAAGAUGGGACCUUUUAAAUAGUGAAGGGAAAUGAGCAAUCCUUCCAAAGUCAAGUUCCUCAACGAAGCCCUUCUAAACACUGUCUCUCCUCCCUGCACACAUGCCUAUGUGCACACAAUACACAUGCUUGUUCAUGCUUUAUCCCUCUUGGUUAGGGGUCUAUCCCCAUCAAGCCAUUAAAGUUGUUCUGGUGGAAUCUCUGAUGACACAUUUUUUUUUUGGCUUGUGAAAACCAACCAUUUUGUUAUUUCAUGAGUUUAUGAGUUGACUGGGCUCAGCUGGGAGGUUCUUCUGGAUGGGGCUUCAGUCAUAAACAAACAUGACUAAGUCAGAGUCCCCAAGAUGUAUCACUCACAUCUGGCAUUUGAUGCUGACUCACUCUGGGCUGGC
rnacentral:lncRNA from 10 species